UACGAAGGGGGCUAGCGUUGUUCGGAAUUACUGGGCGUAAAGCGCGUGUAGGCGGGUCUUUAAGUCCGGGGUGAAAUGCCAAGGCUCAACCUUGGAACUGCCUUUGAUACUGGAGACCUUGAGUCCGGGAGAGGUGAGUGGAAUUGCGAGUGUAGAGGUGAAAUUCGUAGAUAUUCGCAAGAACACCAGUGGCGAAGGCGGCUCACUGGUCCGGUACUGAUGCUGAGGUGCGAAAGCGUGGGGAGCAAACAGG
rnacentral:rRNA from 1 species